rnacentral:tmRNA from 1 species
GGGGUCGUCUUGGUUUCGACAGGGCGUAGUUGGAUUCGGACUGCAGCGGAGUUAUUCGCCUAACGGAUAAACCUAAAAAUAACUGGCAACAGUAAUUAUUCAUUCGCUGCUUAAUAGCCUGACGUAAGGCUCGCAGCCGUCAGCCAUUGUUUAGCUUCUGGGCUAUGGACUGGUGUAAAAGACAGAAGAUAAGUACUGAUGAUUUCUGAUAAAUCAGUAACGAAAACCCAUCAGGAAAACAGAGACUACAUCUUGUUCAUCAUGAGGUUUCUGUUAAUGAGAUGAACUAAACUGUAGAGGUCUGAAUGUGGGACACGUUUUGGACAGGGGUUCGAUUCCCCUCGGCUCCACCA